rnacentral:rRNA from 1 species
AAACUUGAGAGUUUGAUCCUGGCUCAGANNGAACGCUGGCGGCGUGCUUAACACAUGCAAGUCGAACGAAUACGACCGAAGCUUGCUUCGGUACGGUUAGUGGCAAACGGGUGAGUAAUACAUAGGAAUCUGCCUCGCAGUAUGGGAUAACUGUUGGAAACGACAGCUAAUACCGUAUAUUGCCUACGGGUGAAAGAUUUAUCGCUACGAGAUGAGCCUAUGCAGGAUUAGCUUGUUGGUGGGGUAAAGGCCUACC